CAGUCGCCACGGGAAUACGUAGGGUGCGAGCGUUAAUCGGAAUUACUGGGCGUAAAGCGCACGCAGGCGGUUUGUUAAGUCAGAUGUGAAAGCCCUGGGCUCAACCUGGGAAUUGCAGUGGAUACUGGGUCACUAGAGUGUGGUAGAGGAUAGUGGAAUUUCCGGUGUAGCAGUGAAAUGCGUAGAGAUCGGAAGGAACAUCUGUGGCGAAGGCGACUAUCUGGGCCAACACUGACACUGAGGCACGAAAGCGUGGGGAGCAAACAGGAUUAGAUACCCGAGUAGUCCCUGUCUCUUAUAC
rnacentral:rRNA from 1 species